UACGUAGGGUGCAAGCGUUAAUCGGAAUUACUGGGCGUAAAGCGUGCGCAGGCGGUUGUGCAAGACAGAUGUGAAAUCCCCGGGCUUAACCUGGGAAUUGCAUUUGUGACUGCACGGCUAGAGUGUGUCAGAGGGGGGUAGAAUUCCACGUGUAGCAGUGAAAUGCGUAGAUAUGUGGAGGAAUACCGAUGGCGAGGGCAGCCUUCUGGGCCAACACUGACGCUCAUGCACGAAAGCGUGGGGAGCAAACAGG
rnacentral:rRNA from 1 species